rnacentral:rRNA from 1 species
UACGGAGGGAGCUAGCGGUAUUCGGAAUUACUGGGCGUAAAGCGCACGUAGGCGGCUUUGUAAGUUAGAGGUGAAAGCCUGGAGCUCAACUCCAGAAUUGCCUUUAAGACUGCAUCGCUUGAAUCCAGGAGAGGUGAGUGGAAUUCCGAGUGUAGAGGUGAAAUUCGUAGAUAUUCGGAAGAACACCAGUGGCGAAGGCGGCUCACUGGACUGGUAUUGACGCUGAGGUGCGAAAGCGUGGGGAGCAAACAGG